CCUACGGGAGGCAGCAGUAGGGAAUAUUGCUCAAUGGGGGAAACCCUGAAGCAGCAACGCCGCGUGGAGGAUGAAGGUUUUAGGAUUGUAAACUCCUUUUGUGAGAGAAGAUAAUGACGGUAUCUCACGAAUAAGCACCGGCUAACUCCGUGCCAGCAGCCGCGGUAAUACGGAGGGUGCAAGCGUUACUCGGAAUCACUGGGCGUAAAGAGUGCGCAGGCGGGCUUGUAAGUCAGAUGUGAAAUCCUGUAGCUUAACUACAGAACUGCAUUUGAAACUAGGAGUCUAGAGUGUGGGAGAGGUAGGUGGAAUUCGUGGUGUAGGGGUAAAAUGCGUAGAUAUCAAGAGGAAUACUCAUUGCGAAGGCGACCUACUGGAACAUUACUGACGCUCAUGCACGAAAGCGUGGGGAGCAAACAGGAUUAGAUACCCCAGUAGUC
rnacentral:rRNA from 1 species